rnacentral:rRNA from 1 species
AUUUUAGCGAUGAAUGCCUCGGCUCGGGUUACGAUGAAAGACGCAGCGAAUUGCGAUAAGCAAUGCAAAUUGCAGAAUUCCGUGAA